rnacentral:snoRNA from 1 species
GUGCCCUAUUAAGGUUGCUGCAGCACUUUAAGAGGUUAACACCGAAGGGUAAAGCAGUCUCCAUGAAACCCAGAGAUGAGGUCGGUAGAACUCCUAUUUGGAUCAAACAACCAAACUU